rnacentral:rRNA from 1 species
AUUGAACGCUGGCGGCAUGCUUUACACAUGCAAGUCGAACGCGAAAGCGGGGGCAACCCUGCCGGUAGAGUGGCGAACGGGUGAGUAAUACAUCGGAACGUAUCCUCGCGUGGGGGACAACCAGUCGAAAGACGGGCUAAUACCGCAUACGCUGGAGACAGGAAAGCAGGGGACCCGCAAGGGCCUUGUGCGCAUGGAGCGGCCGAUGUCUGAUUAGCUAGUUGGUGGGGAAAGGCUCACCAAGGCGACGAUCAGUAGCUGGUCUGAGAGGAUGAUCAGCCACACUGGGACUGAGACACGGCCCAGACUCCUACGGGAGGCAGCAGUGGGAAUUUUGGACAAUGGGGCAACCCUGAUCCAGCCAUGCCGCGUGAGGGAAGAAGG